rnacentral:lncRNA from 1 species
CUGGAUAAUAUAUAUCAAUACAUCAUCACAGGCAUAUAACUAAUCUGUAUAAAAAUCUGGUUUCCAUUUCAUCCAUGGUCAAACUCAUAUCCACAACAGGAUCUAUGACUAUAACUAUACACUACAUACAACAGAAGGUUUAUAAUACACCAAAAGGUAUAAACCUCUAUCUACAGUAUACUAUGGAGCGGCACAGCUAGCAGGCAACCACUAAUCCUGCUUCUCUCUAUACAAUACCUGCCCUGCAAUCAAAAACACCAAACUGGGAAGUGAGUAUAUGAAUACUCAGUGAGUGGAGUAGAGAGUACUAUGCAUAUGAGACAGAAUAUAAUCAUGGCUUGAGAUGAAAUCUCAAGAUCAAUAACAAGAUGAACAUGAACUCAACAUAGAGAAUAUGGAGUAAAUCAUCAAUAUCACCACAAUCACAAUCAACUCAUCUGGAGCACAUAUGGAAUAAUCAAGUAAUCAUAUAUGCUACUCAUGAAUAUGCUCGACAGAUCAUAAUGCUGGAACAUACAAAUCGGGUGUCAAUAUGCUGAAACAAUGAUAAAUAGCAAUCGGAAGGUGGGUCUUACGCCCCAGGCGAACCACAACAACUCCCUACAAUCACAUGCAUAUGCAGAAUAAGACACCACACUGAUCAUGUAAAUGCUGGCCAGUAUCCAGAACAGAAAUCCAUAGAAAACCGUGAGACUCAUUUCACAUCUGAAUACUAAAUGGCACCUCGCGGAAAUUCUACAUCCGCGGAAAGCCAUACUGCACCUCGUGGGGUCCUACUAUGCCCGGCGGCAAGCAGAAUAUAAGUCGUAGGACUGGCCGAUCCUACACCUAGGGCCGUGUGCCCCCUAGGAAGGGACUGGGCUCCGCCCACCCAGAAGGCUACUAUGUGCACACAGGCCGAUGUCUAACCCCAUCGACUAUAGGUAUCCUGUAGAUACUGCCAAGCCAUGCAUAAAUGCCAUAAUGCACCCUCCCAAUACUCUACUAAAAAGGAGCAUAAUCAAGACUACCACUCACUCGGCCACGACCCAAUUAUAACUAACAUCAGGGUUGGGAGUGAGGAAUCAUGGAAGUGCAAUGCAACUCAAUAUAUCAUGAGAAGGGCUCUACAAGUCUUUGAAAUAGAGAAAAUGAAAUCAAUUUACAAAAGAGGUCAUUUCAUAAUUCGGAACCAAUUUAAUUACUCAUCUAUCCCUCGUAAUUCCUCUCAAUGUUUCCUCAAAUGCAUGUACAGAAUAAUCAAGCAUGAAGAACAAAACAUAGAGAAAUCUACCACAACAAUUAAUCAAUAAGUUCAGGUGGAAUCAAGUCACACUUGGCAACAUUCAUGAAAAUAAAUAAGGAAUGUGCUCAUGGUGCAAAGUACAAACUUCCACUCACCUGUCGAUCCGGCACGGCCUCGAUACGCCUCCCAAACUUUAUGGUAGGCAGUAGGGGGCUUCUUCUUCUUGCUCCCUAAUUUCUUGCCCAACUGUGACAUGCAUUUACAUUACAUUUAGUCUUGUAUUAAGGGCCAUAAUCUAUGUGCCAAAUCAUAAAUAUAGGAAACUUUAAUUGAUUCAACUCUCCCCUUUUCUAAAUCCUUUCCUUUUUCUCUUUUUCCUAUCAAUUAAUCUUCCCUUUAUAUGUAUUAUGAUGCAAGAGUAUCCCACACACACCUUGUAGGGUCAAGGUGUGUGAAAGGAUCAAAUCCCUUCUAAUCCAAAAUUUUACUAAACUUUGGGUCGACCCCAACUUUGAGGGUUGACCCCCGCUUGAGUCGACCCCAGCUUACCCUGAGUCAACCCUAAGCACCGAGCCAAAAAAAUUCCCAUUCUCUGGAAUUUCUUGAGAGAGUUAACCCUACCAGACUUGGGUCGACCCCACUCAGCCCUGAGUCGACUCCGGCUUACUUUGAGUUGACCCAACACCAUUUUUUUUCCAUCUUUCUUCAUCCGGAUGAACAGUAACCUAGGCUGACCUCUGGUUACUUCAUCCCGAAUUUGAACCUCAUGCCAAACUCCAAUUUUUAUGAAAUUUAUACCCAAAGUUCUACACUCAUAGGGGUUUCCAAAAUAAUAAGAUACAUCAUCAUCGGAGGCUGAUUGACCUCCGAAAUAAUUCACCGAAGUUGGGACUUCGACACAGUUUUUUCGCAGUCUCGGAAAAACUUUGUUGAAGUCCAACUCCCUCUUCUCUAAAUCUUUUCUUUUUUUUAUUAAUUAAAUCAUCAUUUAUGUGUAUUAGGGACUUCCUUGCAUGAGUACAAGGUCCUUCUUGCCUAAUCUAGGCUUAAUACCCUAUUAUGGCAUGAAAUCCCUUAUUUUCCCCUCCUGGAUGAACAGUAAUCCAUAUCAACAGCCGGUCACUUCAUCCUGGGUUUGAUCCACUUUUCAAACUCCAAAUUUUAUGAAAUUUUUACCUAACAUUCUACACUCAUGGAGGAUUCCAAAGAGAUAAAAUGCAUUACUAUCGGAGGCCGUUUGGCCCGCAAAACAAUUCACUGAAGUCAGGACUUUGACACAGAUUUUCCGCAGUCUCGGAAGAACCUUGUCGAAUUCCGAUUUCCUCUCUUUUAACCACCUCUAAAACCCCUAUCUAACCUCUUUACAGCCUCAAUUCUAUUAGGGGACUAGGUAGGGAUGAGUAUUUACCUCUUUCUCUUUGGAGAAUUGGGUUCUUGCACCGAGGGAAAGAAGACCGACACUUCUUCUUCUUCUUUCUUCUUCUUCUUCUUCUUCUUCUCUUUUCUUUCCUUCCCUCACGCCUGAGACCUCCUCUCCCUCUCUGUCUCAAAUCCCACGUCUCAGCUAACCAAACCCCAUUUAAGUCACAUCAAAACACCAAAAUUUCCCAUUUUGCCCUUGUCACUUCAACGGAUCUACAAUUAUGCCAUUAACUUUUGAUUCCUUUCCAUUUUGCUCCUAACACUUCAACGCAUCUACUGUUAUGCCAUUAACUUCUGAUUCCUUCCAAUUUUAUCCCUUAUAUCAAUUUUUAAGAACUAUUCUAUCCUUCUCUAUAUAAAUUUUUUUUAGGGGUUAUUACAUCCUCCCCCCCUUAUGUAAAAUUCGUCCUCGAAUUUAAAAAAGUAAAUUACCUAAUUACUCAAAGAGAUGAGUAGAGCAACAAUACUACCAGAAGCUUUUCUGCUCGGUGUAUCUACCUCAACAUUAGCUUUUUUCGAGGAGUAGUGUAUUGAUAAGGCAUAAUUUUUAUCAAUCCCAAUCAUCUUACAAGAUUCAUCAAUCCGGGGCCGAAGAUAUUUGUUCUUUAUUGUUACCUUGUCCAAUCCUCGAUAACCAAUACAUAACCUCAAACCUCCAUCUUUCCUCUUUACAAACAAUACUAGAGCUUCCCAAGGUGACACAUUGAGUCGAAUGAAGCCUUUAUUAAGUAGAUCUUGCAACUUUUCCUUUAAUUCUUCUAUUUCAGUUGGAGCCAUUCUAUAGGGUUUUUUUUUUUGAAGAUUGGUGUGGUAUUGGAAAUCAAAUCAAUUGCAAAUCCAAUCUCUCUCUGGUGGCAAACCAGGAAGAUCUUCUGGAAAAAAUCAGGGUAUUCAUUCAUUAAUGAAAUAUCCUCCAAUUUGGUCUCCUUUCAGGUAUCUAUUACACAUGCUAAAUAAGUCUUGCAUGUCGAGUUAUAUAAGUUUGUCGCUAACUCUCCUACCCCUAUUUGAAUUAUGCAAUUCUUGCACUAAUGUCAACAAUUACUGUUUUCUAUAGGGGUGUAGGAACAUACAAUAGUUCUUCUAGUUUCUCAAGUAUGUAGUGUAAUUAUCUAGAAAAAAACUAACUGAAAUAAAGGAAUGCAUAGUGCCAGAAUCGAACAAAAUAGAGGGAUCAAUCAAGCUGACUGGUAAUAUACCUGUUACCACCCGAUCAUUGGCACUAGCACCUUGGUGGGUUAAUGCAAAACUCGAGCAUUGCUUCUUGGCCUCUGGUCACCAUGUACAGGAGGUCUGGGCUCAUUCCUACUCUUGUACAGGAAAUCACGUGCCAGGUGUCCGGUCCGCCCACAACUAUAACAUGCCCUCGCUCUUCUCAUAUAGGGCCCACUAUGGAAUCUGCUAGAGUAAGUGCGGGCCCUAGGCUUCUUUUGAAUUGAAAUGCCUCUGAAAUCCUAUGACCUGCUACUCUGACUUCUAGCUGAUCUAUAUCUCAUCAGGUCAGCCUUUUCUUUAUCAGAUCUUUUUAAUUCAGCCUCCACUUUCAAAGCUCUGUCCAAAAUAUUCUUAUAGCUAGAAAUUAUCUGUAAAGAUGUUCGGAACCUGAUCCUGUAUCUAAGUCCUUGUUCGAAUCGGUUGGCUCUACUCAUAUCGUCCUCCAUGAACUGAGGGCAAAAUCGACUCAGCUCCUCGAACCUAUUGACAUAAUCCAGGACAGUCAUAUGUUCGAACUGAGACAGCGAUAAAAACUCAUUCUGUUUUAUUUGCCUGACUGAGUCCAAAAAAUACUUAGCAUAAAAUACCCUCUUAAAAUCUUUCCAGGUCAUUCCGUCGAUCUCAUAUGCUGUCUUCAUAGCAGUCCAUCAAUAAUCAGCACUCCCCCUUAGCAAAGAGGUAGCUAAAUUGACUUUUACCUCCUCGGAAAAUUGGAGUAACUCAUACAUCUUCUCCAUUUCCUGGAUCCAGGUCUCAGCUGUUAUGGGAUUGAAUCCACCAUCAAACAUCGGUGGAUUCAGCCUACGGAACCUCUCAUAAUAGGAAUCCAUCGGCUGUACAAGUUGGGCAGCCAACUGCAUCUGCUGCUGUUGCUCAAGCAAUUGUGCCAUUAACUGGUACACUCCUGCCAGGUCUGCCUGAGAUGCUAUGGAGUGUGGAGUAGUUUGUGAAAUUGAUUGGCUAUCAGGGUCCGGGGAAGGUGCCCUUAUUUCUCUUUCAUCCUCCAUGUUGUUUACGGCUACCUAGCAGUCAAUAAUUUAUGAUGAGUUUAUAUAAAUUAUCUCUUAACANNNNNNNNNNNNNNNNNNNNGGAAGGUGCCCUUAUUUCUCUUUCAUCCUCCAUGUUGUUUACGGCUACCUAGCAGUCAAUAAUUUAUGAUGAGUUUAUAUAAAUUAUCUCUUAACAUAGCAAAAUAGCAAAAACCAUCAGAGAGAUCACACAGCCAUAUCAUAAUUAAUCUGAGAAUCUACAAUAUUCACCUUCUCUUAUUAACACAAAUCUUCAUUAUUGAAAAAUCUAGUCUCCCAUCACAGUCAAUAUUUUUGACCAAUUUAAAUUGACUCGAUCCACUAUACUUUCGCUGCACAACUCUGAUCAAUAUUCUCCGAAUUUAUUAAUUGACUUUCUAUCAAAAUACAAAUCUUGAUUGUAAACUGAAAGAUAUAAAAUUUUAUCUCAAGUAGAGCCAAAAAAAGAACUCUUAAGUCUCAUCCCCAAAUAUAUCUUACUGAAUUGCAAAUAACUUAUAAAAUAACAUACAAAAAAAACUCUAUGCUCCGUAGUAUAAUCCUAUACUUAAUCCUGAUUCACCCUAUUGCUCUGAUAGGACUCUUCUUAACCUUUGCUCUGAUACCACUUCUUGUCACGACCCCCGCCCCGCUUCCGACGGGCCGCCGCGACGGUCCUAGGGUGCGGAUAGGCAUAAGGCCACCAGCCACCAUGUAGAACCCUACUAUCUACCAAUCAUUAAUAAAUUCUGAAAAAUUUUGGCAUGAUGCAUGCACAAAAUGAUCACCUUUUCUAUGGUGACCUGUCAGGAUUAUCACAAUACAUACAACAACACUACCUGUCAGAGCAGCAAUCACAUAAUCUGUCACAUAAUGAACCUGGACAAUAUAUAUCAAUACAUCAUCACAGGCAUAUAACUCAUCUGUAUAAAAAUCUGGUUUCCAUUCCAUCCAUGGUCAAACCCAUAUCCACAACAGGAUCUAUGACUAUAACUAUACACUAUAUACAACAGAAGGUUUAUAAUACACCAAAAGGUAUAAACCUCUAUCUACAGUAUACUAUGGAGCGGCACAGCUAGCAGGCAACCACUAA